rnacentral:rRNA from 1 species
CGUAGGGUGCAAGCGUUGUCCGGAAUUAUUGGGCGUAAAGAGUUCGUAGGCGGUUUGUCGCGUCCGUUGUGAAAGCUUGGGGCUCAACCCCAGGUCUGCAGUGGAUACGGGCAGGCUAGAGUCAGGUAGGGGAGAACGGAAUUCCUGGUGUAGCGGUGAAAUGCGCAGAUAUCAGGAGGAACACCGGUGGCGAAGGCGGUUCUCUGGGCCUGUACUGACGCUGAGGAACGAAAGCGUGGGGAGCGAACAGGAUUAGAUACCCUGGUAGUCCACGCCGUAAACGGUGGGCGCUAGAUGUGGGGACCUUCCACGGUUUCUGCGUCGCAGCUAACGCAUUAAGCGCCCCGCCUGGGGAGUACGGUCGCAAGACUA